AGAGAAAUACGUUUCAGUGAAAGAAGAGGAAGACUCGUUCAGAGUGAAAGAAGAGGAGGGGAGAUUACUGUCACAUUGGAUGAAGAAGAGGAGGUUGGAGAUCUGUUCAAUACCAGAGAGAGACGGGACUACCGUGGGUCCUCUGGGGAGCCUCAACAACAUCAUGAUGCUGACGAGGCAGAGCAGAGUCUCUCUACAUCAGAACACCUCAAUAAACACUUGCAGAGACUCACACGGAGGAGAAUUCACUGCUGCUCUGACUGUGGGAAGAGAUUCACCUCCUCAUCAGGCAUUAAAAUGCAUCAGAGAACACACACACAGGAGAGAGGUCUUAUAGCUGUGAUCAAUGUGGGAAGAGUUUUAGACAAUCUGGAAGUCUGACAGUGCACCAGAGAACACACACAGGAGAGAAAUCUUAUAGCUGUGAUCAAUGUGGGAAGAGUUUUACUACAUCUGGCUAUCUGACUGUACACAAGAGAACACACACAGUAGAGAAACCUCUUAGCUUUGACCAGAGAUAAUCUGAUAAAAGAUCUCUGAUCAAAUAUCAGAAAAUACAUACAUGGAGUUGUUUCAUGAUAUCAAUGAAUUAAUGUCACAAUGUAGAAUGUUUUAACAUUGCAGUAGGAGUAUCUUAAUGUCACAAUGUAGAACCCAAAAUGCCAUUUCAGCAGGAGAGUGAAAUCCUGCUGGCCUUUGAUGGGGAGAACAUCCACGCCCUCGAGGACGUCCCCAUGGGACUUGGGGCUCUGCUAGGGCUGUAUUUCUUUUAUUUUCCCUUACAUUUCUCAAAAAUGUCAGAAAAACACUUAUGUUCUUAAGGUUAAGGUACUGUGUUUUGGGUGAAGUUACCAGGGCCGGUCACAAAGAUGGCAAACUUCCUAACAUAACUCAGUGAAUAUGAUAUACACACUAAAGCUGAAAAAUCUGCAUUUAGCAUCAAGUCUACAAUAUUGUUAGUUUACCUAGGAUUCAUUUUUAAUUUGUUGUUUUUAUUGUACAUCAUUAUUUAAAAAAUGUUUAAAUGUCAUUAAAAGCACUAUACAAAGUAAA